AUGCAGGGGUGUUGAUGUAGCUGUUAAAUGACAACCGAAACUACCUCAUCAACCUAUUUUGAAUGCCACAAGGAACUGAGGACCAAAGAGAUAAACUGAGAUAAUGUCAUACAGUUGGGGCGUGCAGUUCCUUCUAACCCAAUUGAUCCGUCACGAGUUACUGAACUCUCUUGGCGACCAAGGUCAAGUACUCCGAUCCAUAAAAUAAUGCUUUUUGUUUCGCUGGUACAUGACCUCCAGCCACUGCCUUCGCCACUAGGUUAUUGUUUAAGGUGAUUUUAACUGCAUAAGAGGCGGGAAUAUCCUAUAAAAGUCUCUAGAACGCCUGAAUGGGUUUGCUGGAAACUCUUCAUUGUCAUAUGGAAGUAAUGCAAAGACUUCCCCAAAAAAGUCGACCGUUGGCAAAAAAAUGUUAGAAGCAUCUGUUUCUUUGCUAAGUUCCGCGCAAUUUCUGACCAGCUAUACAGGUCACCUCACCUGAGUAUCACAAACAUGUCCGAAAGGAGGUUGUGAAGCAAAGUUUGUCAUAAUUUCUUUUUGUACAUCUGCCAUUAAUAAAUGGGAAGCAUUAUCUUCGCCUAUCCGUAAUACUUUUAUCGGACGAAGGUUGCUGGAGUUGGAACUUGCUAGAGCUAGACGCGCGAUUCAGCGAGCGGAUACUGUUCGUAACCUUUCUCAGCUUUUGCAAAACGGUGACGUUUUGUCCAGUGAUAUCUAUCAUAACCCCAACGAGUUUUAUCAAUGGAAAAGGUGAAAACACGAGAAAAUUCAAUACUACUAAGACAAUGUCUCAGCCUCUCAGGAUUAGCUUAGUAAGGGAGGUCUUUGUGGUAUACACUCAUAUUUGUCCUUGCUAGCAAGGUCUCAUAUUAAGCAAGUUUUAUUGCCCAAGUCCUACAUACAUAGAGAAAUCUUCAAGAAGCACAAAUAAUAUUUAUAACAAGGUUCUAUUAUCAAAGGAAGCAAAUCAAAACAUGAGCUGGAAACUGAACCCGAGUCCAGAAGGGAGAGUUUUGAAGAACCGUCAACAUUUUCAGUGGUCAACUUUCCAUUAGAGAAUGAAGAAUGAAAUCCAACAUGAGGUCAAAUGUCCGUUGGUGCUUAAGGCUUAAAUAGUCCACUAUAAAUAUGAUUUUGGUUGAGGUGGCCCUAUCAAUGACUUUUGUAGUUAAUAAUAAUUAUUGCCUUGCUAGCUAAAGUUGGACUGAACAUCCAAGAAGCACAUGCUUUCUCCACAGUGGAUCGCUACUCAUUAGAUGUCUUUGCUGUUGAUGGUUGGCCAUAUGAGGCGACAGGGACGCAACUCAUGUUGGACACACUAACAAGUCUUCAAAAAUGGAAAGAGAAAAUCAACAUAUGUUGUAUAUAAAUACUCAAUUUAUUUAUUUACUUAUGGUUUUCUUAUAAUAUUUUAUAUACUCUAUACGUGCAUGCACUAAAUGAAGCAAACACGAAAAAAUUGCUUAUAAAA